rnacentral:rRNA from 1 species
AGCGGCGGACGGGUGAGUAACGCGUGGGUAACCUGCCCUGUACACACGGAUAACAUACCGAAAGGUAUGCUAAUACGAGAUAAUAUACUUUUAUCGCAUGGUAGAAGUAUCAAAGCUUUUGCGGUACAGGAUGGACCCGCGUCUGAUUAGCUAGUUGGUAAGGUAACGGCUUACCAAGGCGACGAUCAGUAGCCGACCUGAGAGGGUGAUCGGCCACAUUGGAACUGAGACACGGUCCAAACUCCUACGGGAGGCAGCAGUGGGGAAUAUUGCACAAUGGGCGAAAGCCUGAUGCAGCAACGCCGCGUGAGCGAUGAAGGCCUUCGGGUCGUAAAGCUCUGUCCUCAAGGAAGAUAAUGACGGUACUUGAGGAGGAAGCCCCGGCUAACUACGUGCCAGCAGCCGCGGUAAUACGUAGGGGGCUAGCGUUAUCCGGAAUUACUGGGCGUAAAGGGUGCGUAGGUGGUUUCUUAAGUCAGAGGUGAAAGGCUACGGCUCAACCGUAGUAAGCCUUUGAAACUGGGAAACUUGAGUGCAGGAGAGGAGAGUGGAAUUCCUAGUGUAGCGGUGAAAUGCGUAGAUAUUAGGAGGAACACCAGUUGCGAAGGCGGCUCUCUGGACUGCAACUGACACUGAGGCACGAAAGCGUGGGGAGCAAACAGGAUUAGAUACCCUGGUAGUCCACGCCGUAAACGAUGAGUACUAGCUGU